rnacentral:rRNA from 1 species
AACGAACGCUGGCGGCAUGCCUAACACAUGCAAGUCGAACGAGACCUUCGGGCCUAGUUGCGCACGGGUGCGUAACGCGUGGGAACCUGCCCUUAGGUUCGGAAUAACUCCCCGAAAGGUGUGCUAAUACCGGAUAAUGUCUUCGGACCAAAGAUUUAUCGCCUUUGGGUGGGCGCGUGUUGGAUUAGCUGGUUGGUAGGGGAAAAGCCGACCAAGGCGACGAUGCAUAGCUGGUCUGAGAGGAUGAUCAGCCACACUGGGACUGAGACACGGCCCAGACUGGUACGGGAGGCAGCAGUGGGGAAUAUUGGACGAUGGGCGAAAGCCUGAUCCAGCAAUGCCGCGUGAGUGAUGAAGGCGUUAGGGUUGUAAAGCUCUUUUACACGGGAUGAUAAUGACAGUACCGGGAGAAUAAGCUCCGGCUAACUCCGUG